rnacentral:antisense_RNA from 2 species
UGUAGGAGCGAGCUUGCUCGCGAUGACGGCGUGUCAGCUUGCACAUUUCUUGAAUGUGCCACCCUCAUCGCGAGCAAGCUCGCUCCUACA